UAGAAUUUUGAUGUAUCUGUACUUUGUUAUUUACAUUUCUGACGACUUUCACUUUUACUCCACUACAUUUCAUCAAUAAAAUGAAAGUGAUGGUGUAA